AGCAGCCGCGGUAAUUCCAGCUCCAAUAGCGUAUAUUAAGGUUGUUGCAGUUAAAAAGCUCGUAGUUGAAUUUCGGGGUUAGUAGAUUGGUCAUGCCUCUGGUAUGCACUGGUCUUACUGAUUCCUCCUUCCUGAUGAACCGUAAUGCCAUUAAUUUGGUGUUGCGGGGAAACUGGACUGUUACUUUGAAAAAUUAGAGUGUUUAAAGCAGGCUAACGCUUGAAUACAUUAGCAUGGAAUAAUGAAAUAGGACGUUCGAUCUUAUUUUGUUGGUUUUUAGGAUUGACGUAAUGAUUAAUAGGGAUAGUUGGGGCAUUAGUAUUCAAUUGUCAGAGGUGAAAUUCUUGGAUUUAUUGAAGACUAACUACUGCGAAAGCAUUUUGCCAAGGAUGUUUUCAUUAAUCAAGAACGAAAGUUAGGGGAUCGAAGACGAUCAGAUACCGUCAUAGUCUUAACCAUAAACUAUGACCG
rnacentral:rRNA from 1 species